UCUAGGACAAGAUAAACAAGAGCACAUGUGACUCCUUCUUGGCAUGUUCUUUGAAUCUAGCCGUAUAAUCUGUUUACUACCUGCUGCAGUAUUGAAAUCGCAUGUGUCUGAUAUAUUCACUAGCUUAUUAUGAACCGACAAUAACAACAUUACUGGUCCCUGUUGUGACAAAUGAUUUGAGUUUGGUUUAUUUAUAUUGCAGCCGUGCCUUUUACGACAAGAGGCUCUCCCAGGAAGUUAGCGGAGAUGCUUUGGGCGAGGAGUUCAAGGGUACGUCUUCAAGAUCAUGGGAGGGUGCGACAAGCAAGGUUUCCCGAUGAAACAGGGAGUUCUUACCCCUGGCCGUGUCCGCCUCUUGCUUCACUGAGGUACUCCUUGCUUCAGUGGACACGGAAAGAGGACUGGAGAGAGGAGGAGAAAGUCUCUGUCCGGGGUUGCAUUGUCAGCCAAGAUCUAUCUGUUCUUAAGACCAUUGUAUUUUUGUUUAUCGCAUAGUUUUGGGAAGGUUGUAAAUCAAUCGUUAGAAAACAUAUGGUAUGUUGGCUUAUAUGUUGAACGAUAAAAUCACCUAUUUGACAAAUGAUUGCUUUAGUA